GCGCUUGUAGCUCAGUGGAUAGAGCACCGGCCUCCGACGCCGGGUUGUCGUAGGUUCGAUUCCUAUCAAGCGUACCA
rnacentral:tRNA from 2 species